rnacentral:rRNA from 1 species
CCUUUGUACACACCGCCCGUCGCUACUACCGAUUGAAUGGCUCAGUGAGGCCUUCGGACUGGCUCAGGGAGGGCGGCAACGUCCACCCAGAGCCGGAAAGUUAUCCAAACUCGGUCAUUUAGAGG